GUGGGGAAUAUUGGACAAUGGGGGGAACCCUGAUCCAGCCAUGCCGCGUGUGUGAAGAAGGCCUUUUGGUUGUAAAGCACUUUAAGCGAGGAGGAGGCUACCGAGAUUAAUACUCUUGGAUAGUGGACGUUACUCGCAGAAUAAGCACCGGCUAACUCUGUGCCAGCAGCCGCGGUAAUACAGAGGGUGCAAGCGUUAAUCGGAUUUACUGGGCGUAAAGCGCGCGUAGGUGGCCAAUUAAGUCAAAUGUGAAAUCCCCGAGCCUAACUUAGGAAUUGCAUUCGAUACUGGAAAGCUAGAGUAUGGGAGAGGAUGGUAGAAUUCCAGGUGUAGCGGUGAAAUGCGUAGAGAUCUGGAGGAAUACCGAUGGCGAAGGCAGCCAUCUGGCCUAAUACUGACGCUGAGGUGCGAAAGCGUGGGGAGCAAACAGGAUUAGAUACCCGGGUAGUCC
rnacentral:rRNA from 1 species